rnacentral:rRNA from 1 species
GGCGAACGCUGGCGGCAGGCCUAACACAUGCAAGUCGAACGGACCUUUCGGGGUUAGUGGCGGACGGGUGAGUAACACGUGGGAACGUGCCUUUAGGUUCGGAAUAGCUCCUGGAAACGGGUGGUAAUGCCGAAUGUGCCCUUAGGGGGAAAGAUUUAUCGCCUUUAGAGCGGCCCGCGUCUGAUUAGCUAGUUGGUGAGGUAAUGGCUCACCAAGGCUACGAUCAGUAGCUGGUCUGAGAGGAUGACCAGCCACAUUGGGACUGAGACACGGCCCAAACUCCUACGGGAGGCAGCAGUGGGGAAUCUUGCGCAAUGGGCGAAAGCCUGACGCAGCCAUGCCGCGUGGAUGAUGAAGGUCUUAGGAUUGUAAAAUCCUUUCACCGGUGAAGAUAAUGACUGUAGCCGGAGAAGAAGCCUCGGCUAACUUCGUGCCAGCCGCCGCUGUAA